CAUGUCUUUUUGUAAAUAAUUUAAAGUCUAGUCUGCCCACUGAAUUUUUUAAAGGGCCGCAGUAAUCUGACUGUGCAAAGGUAGCAUAAUCAUUUGUCUCUUAAUUGGAGGCUGGUAUGAACGACUGGACGAGGUAAAAGCUGUCUCAUUACUAGAAUUAUAAAAAUUUAGCUUUUUAGUCAAAAGGCUGAGAUUUUUUUGGAGGACGAGAAGACCCUAUAGAUCUUUAUAAUAAAUGCUAAUUUUAAAUUUUGGUUAUAUAUAAUUUAAUUUUAUUAUUAAUUAUUUUGUUGGGGUGACAUGAAAAUUUAACUAACUUUUCAUUAUUUUUUUACAUUAAUAAAUGCUUUUUUGAUCCAUUAUUAGUGAUUAUAAGAAUAAGUUACCUUAGGGAUAACAGCGUUAUUUUAUUGGAGAGUUCAUAUUGAUAAUAAAGUUUGCGACCUC
rnacentral:rRNA from 1 species